rnacentral:rRNA from 1 species
AUGCUCUUUAUAACAGAAUUUGUAUGUUGCUUUUGUUGUAGAAGAAUUAGAAUUUCAUAUUUUAUUUUCAGAUCGGGCAUUAUGAGCUCAGAACCUGUGCAAAGAUCAUGCAGUCCCCAUCUAGGAUCCAAUCAUAUUUUCAGGCUUUCCGAAACAUUUGUUUCUGGAAGCCAGCAUUGUCAACCAUAUAACACAUUUUAUUGGAUGAUUAAAUCUUCCUUCCUUUGCUGGGCUGUUGUCAUUCUGCAUAGCUUUCAAGCGCCCUCAAUGGCUUUAGUAAAUCAACACAAGCCACCUUCAGGACACUUCAGUUCUAACUGA